GAGUAGAAGAAACAGAAACUGCU
rnacentral:tRNA from 1 species